GACGAACGCUGGCGGCGUGCCUAACACAUGCAAGUCAACUUGACGGAAGGAGCAAUCUGACCGUAGAGUGGCGCAAGGGUGCGUAACGCGUAAGUAACUUGCCCCAAGGUAAGGAAUAACGUCGAGAAAUCGGCGCUAAUACCUCAUAAUGCAGCGGAUCCGCAUGGAUAUGUUGUUAAAGGUUUACCGCCUUGGGAUAGGCUUGCGUCUGAUUAGCUAGUUGGUGUGGUAACGGCACACCAAGGCUACGAUCAGUAACUGGUCUGAGAGGAUGAUCAGUCACACUGGAACUGAGACACGGUCCAGACUCCUACGGGAGGCAGCAGUGAGGAAUAUUGGGCAAUGCUCGAAAGAGUGACCCAGCAACGCCGCGUGGAGGAUGAAGGUAUUCUAUAUCGUAAACUCCUGUGAGAGCAGACGAAAGACAAAUUAUUAAUCUGGAUGACUGUAUGCUCAGAGGAAGCCCCGGCUAACUACGU
rnacentral:rRNA from 1 species